AUUUGAAUCACUAGAUGAACUUAUUAAAAUGCAGAAUCUGACUCAUUAGGUCUGGCUAUGGUCCAAGAUUCUACAUUUCUAACAAGUUCUAGGGUGAUUCAAAU
rnacentral:pre_miRNA from 1 species